UGAGUAGAUACCAAACAAUGUCAACUCGCCCCACUGGCCAAUCGGCCCAACCUAUAUCGCCACUUUAUGAAAAAAAUCGCUCCACUCUUGUUUACCGACUCGCCUCACUUUUGAUAAAAGUGUAAAAUCAAACUGAACAAUCACUGACAACUCACUAAUUAACGAAAAGGGUUUUAACCCCAUUGAAUAAAGGUCUGUCAACUCGCCCAACUUAUAAAAAAAACAUCUUGCUUCCUUUAAGUAGGUUAAAUUACAGAUAGUUCGUAUCCAGUCGUCCUGGUGUAGUGGUUGUGUCGUGGCUUGAUAUGCUAAUUAAGGUCUUGAGUUCGAAUCCCAGCAUAUACACUGGAUUUUUUCUACGUAAAUUUUGAUAGAUAGUCUUUUACGUAUAAUUGUAUAUUUAAUUAUAAGUUUUAUAGUGGAUUUGACAUUCCCGCCAAAAUGUUACAGAACAAAGGAAAGCAUGCAUAACAAAGAAUCUCAAACUAGGGUGAUCUGUUAGAACAAAGGAGCUGGGAUGUAAGUUGAAAUAACAUUGGUUAUAAUAUAAAGAAAAUACAUGAUUAUAAUAGGAAUACAACCACUCAUUCAUAGUCCCAUUGCUUUCUAAGUUAAAUGUUGCAAUUCAAGCAAUAAUGGCUGCUUUGUGCUAAGUUAGAGAAAGUGGCAGUUAUUUCGUGUAAAACAGGUCUUUAAUCUUUCACUUGAUACCAAAUUUUACUAAAUGACAAAGCUAUGUGUUGGAAUUAUUUUGUUCUGAACUUCUUUCUUGUGUAUGAUCUGUCUUAGCGGACCUUACAAUUAGUGGUUCUGUACAUAGUAGUACAUGAUAGUUUUUAUUUGUUUAACAUUAACUACUCUGCAUUGACUUUGGAGCUUAACCAUUUAUUUGCAAUUAGUUCAUGCUUAACGAAGGCGAGGUAAAUGCACAUAAUAUAUAUACAAACUUGUACAAAACAUAUAUAUAGUUAAUAAUAAUUGUGACAUAUGAGAUAAAGAACACUGAUCGAUAAGAGACCUUUAACUCGAAAAGCAUAAUUUUCUCUUAAAAAAGAUAGCUUUGAACAGAAUAUGUACACCCUUUCACUAAAGAUAGCGUUGAACAGAAUAUGUAAAUCCGUUUACUAAAGAUAGCUGUGAACAGAAUCUGUACAUUCUUUUACUAAAGAUAG
rnacentral:lncRNA from 1 species